GAACGCGAAGAACCUUACCAGGUCUUGACAUCCUCUGACCACCCUAGAGAUAGGGCUUUCCCCUUCGGGGGACAGAGUGACAGGUGGUGCAUGGUUGUCGUCAGCUCGUGUCGUGAGAUGUUGGGUUAAGUCCCGCAACGAGCGCAACCCUUGAUCUUAGUUGCCAGCAUUCAGUUGGGCACUCUAAGGUGACUGCCGGUGACAAACCGGAGGAAGGUGGGGAUGACGUCAAAUCAUCAUGCCCCUUAUGACCUGGGCUACACACGUGCUACAAUGGACGGUACAAAGGGCAGCGAGACCCGCGAAGGUAAGCGAAUCCCAUAAAACCGUUCUCAGUUCGGAUUGCAGUCUGGAACUCGCCUGCAUAAGCCGGAAUUGCUAGUAAUCGCGGAUCAGCAUGCCGCGGA
rnacentral:rRNA from 1 species